GUGUAGUGACAAUCUUGUUCAUUUUUGCUACAUCCUCUGCACAAGGAAUUUGGCAUCAUGACAGAAGGAGCCAGUGAGUGACCUUACAUAGAGCUCUAGCGCUGAUCCUCUGAGCACCGUUUCAUAAGAGAUUUUUUAAUUAUUAUUUUUUUUAUGACAUACAUUUUAUCAUAGAUCAAUUAGAUGUAAUUUAACAGAAUGAUUUGGUAAGAGUAAAACAUGAGUGAUCUGUCUUGUUUAUAAUGUCAGCAGCAAUGCAGGUUUCAGUGGACAGAUGGAAGGCAGCCAUCAUCUGCACUGUUGUGGAAAUGUGUCGUACAAGAUCUCAGAAAGUUCCUGCUGUAAUGGAAAUGUAACUCUGGGAUUAAGCCAGCUGGUGGCUGACUGCUGUGAUUCUGUAUCUUACAAUCCCCUUAACGAGAUUUGCUGUAAUGGCAGCAUACUGACACGAAGCAGCACUCACAUGAAAUGCUGUGGCAAAGCCAUGUACCUGACAACGACUCAUUUGUGUUGUGGUGGUGACAAAAUAUUUGAAUGGAAGGAAAAUCAUUCUUGUUGUGGCAAUGAAACAUAUGACAUGACAACCCACUGCUGCUGCACUAACCUUAAUCUAAAAGUAAAGCCUUAUAAUGACACUUGCUGUCCAAAAGCAACAGAUUCUGAUAAAAAAACAAAAUGCCAACAAGGCUCCCUUCCCACCUGCACACUCCCCAAAGUCUCAGAAUUGAAGUGUGGGUCUGAACCUUACAAUCCCCAGGAAAAAAUAUGUUGCUCAGGGAAUCUGUAUAAGAAGGCAUCAGCACUUACUAAGUGCUGUGGCAAAGAUGUUUACACUCUGUCAGAUGACAAUGUGCUAUGCUGUAAUGGAAUCCUUCAUCUCAAUGUGCCUGAGCAGUCAGAGUGUGUUGGAGGUGUUAUAUAUGCUCCCCCAAACACUAUUUGCCAAAUGUCUGCUCGUCCCCGUCUUGGUGAGCACUGCUGUGGAGGACAAACCUUCAAUCCUCGCACACAUAUUUGCUGUAACGGACACAGCCACAACAAAACGAAUGGCAAUUAUUGUUGUGGUUCAGAAGUCUAUGACCUCCACAACCAGUUGUUGAGAUGCUGCUCAGGUCAUCUCUACAACCUAACACGUUUAAGUGGGGAAGCAGAGUGCUGUGGAAACCAUCUGCUGGAAUAUAAUAACAAUCAGAUUUGUUGUUCAUCCUCAACCAAUGCUAUAAUUUAUGACACCAAACCAAACCACCGUUGCUGUGGGCAUUACUACUACAACACAUCCCUGUGGAGCUGCUGUGCUGAACAUCUCAAACCAACACCAAAGCCUGACAGCUCUCCUGCAGAAUACAGGCUUAAACCACUAAUGGACCUGAUCCCUGAAAUGUGCAAUAAAACAAUGUUCUUUGGCAAAGUGGAGAGUUUGGCACUUGAAAAUGAUCAGCGUCAUGUGGUGUUGAAAGUUGUGUGGCAGGUCAACAUGAAAUCAGAAAAGGUCAUCAAAGACCCAUGGCUUCAUGUGUCCCUGGAUCACUGCAGCUCUCCUGCCACAGAGAGCGGCAUGACCUACCUUUGGGUGGAAAACCAUGAUAGGAAGUACAAGCUUCUCUCUCACCCUGUUGACCUAACCUCUGACAUGCAACUGUUAUAUGCUGUAUGUUACCAUAAAAAGGGAUAA
ensembl:lncRNA